rnacentral:rRNA from 1 species
GACGAACGCUGGCGGCGUGCUUAACACAUGCAAGUCGAACGGAAAGGCCUGCUUUCCCUUGUGGAUUGCGGGUACUCGAGUGGCGAACGGGUGAGUAACACGUGAGUGAUCUGCCCCCAACUUGGGUAUAAGCCUGGGAAACUGGGUCUAAUUCCCGAUAGGACUGCAGGGUGGUGCCUGUGGUGGAAAACGAUUUUCUAGUGGUUGGGGAUGAGCUCGCGGCCUAUCAGCUUGUUGGUGGGGUAAUGGCCUACCAAGGCGGCGACGGGUUGCCGGCCUGAGAGGGUGGACGGCCACAUUGGGACUGAGAUACGGCCCAGACUCCUACGGGAGGCAGCAGUGGGGAAUAUUGCACAAUGGGCGGAAGCCUGAUGCAGCGACGCCGCGUGGGGGAUGACGGCCUUCGGGUUGUAAACUCCUUUCGACCGCGAGGAAGCCACCUGGUUGGAAGGGUGGUGACGGUAGUGGUAGAAGAAGCACCGGCUAACUACGUG